rnacentral:lncRNA from 1 species
GCCUAAGGUAGCACACCAUGGUCCCCUUCUGUUAGAAUUUGGGAUACACAGAUCUGGAUUUGAGCCCCAGCUUGCCGUGUGACUGUGCAUGACCUUGGAUAAUUUCCUUAACAUCCUGAGCUUCAGUUUCCUCAUCUGUAAAGUAGAGAUAUUUAAAUACCAAAUUUAACUGGCUCCACCUAACUGCUAGCUCUUUAUUAUUUCUCCUGGGUGAACUGUCUGAAUCAUGAGGUGGGUCAUAUGACAUAACAAAUUCCACCUGCUGCCCCUACCUGUAGUCCAUUCCUUCCCUGGUGAAUGGCAUCUCAGUUUCCUGGCUGUCCAAGCUAGAAACAUUGGGAGGCAUUCUGGAUUCCUCAGUUUUUCUUUAUGACCACAUCAGGUCCAUCCUCAAUCAUGAUGAUGCUCUCUCCUAAGCCUCUUAUGGAUCUGUCCAGUUCUCCCUCUCUACUGGCACACCUUGGGGCUUGUGGAUUGCCUGAACCAUUAUCCAGCCCCUAGCAGAUCGGUACCCCUUUCCUAGGUUCUCCUCUAAUCCACGUCCUGCAAUGUUGUCAGAGUGAUUUUUCU